UGAAUGAUAAUAAAAUGAACAAAAAACAAACAGACGAUCAAAACAACAACACAUGUCCUGCUUUUGUUGUUGUUGUUGUUCUUAUUCAACUUCUUCUUCUUCUUCUGAUACGUAU
rnacentral:ribozyme from 14 species